UGGGGAAUUUUGGACAAUGGGCGCAAGCCUGAUCCAGCAAUGCCGCGUGCAGGAAGAAGGCCUUCGGGUUGUAAACUGCUUUUGUCAGGGAAGAAAUCCUCUGGGUUAAUACCUCGGGGGGAUGACGGUACCUGAAGAAUAAGCACCGGCUAACUACGUGCCAGCAGCCGCGGUAAUACGUAGGGUGCGAGCGUUAAUCGGAAUUACUGGGCGUAAAGCGUGCGCAGGCGGUUGUGCAAGACAGGUGUGAAAUCCCCCGGGGCUUAAACCUGGGAACUGCACUUGUGACUGCACGGCUAGAGUACGGUAGAGGGGGGAUGGAAUUCCGCGUGUAGCAGUGAAAUGCGUAGAUAUGCGGAGGAACACCGUGGCGAAGGCAAUCCCCUGGACCUGUACUGACGCUCAUGCACGAAAGCGUGGGGGAGCAAAACAGGAUUAGAUACCCUGGUAGUCCACGCCCUAAAACGAUGUCAACUGGUUGUUGGACGGCUUGCUGUUCAGUAACGAAGCUAACGCGUGAAGUUGACCGCCUGGGGNGUACGGCCGCAAGGUUGAAACUCAAAUGAAUUGACGGGGUCAUAGCUGUUUCCUG
rnacentral:rRNA from 1 species